UUUGACGAUAUUUUAGUCUACAGUGCCUCUCUUGAAGAUCACACCAUCCACUUGCAAUCAGUGCUUGAGUUGUUAAGAAGGGAUCAAUGGCAAGUCAAACGCUCAAAGUGCACUUUCGCUCAAAGCCAGUUAUCCUAUUUGUGCCAUACUAUCAGCCAGCAUGGGGUUGCCACUGAAACCCACAAAAUUAAGAACAUUGCCAACUGGUCUUCUCCGCAAUCAGUCAAAGAAGUCCGCAGCUUCUUAGGUUUGGCCGGCUAUUACAGGCGCUUCGUUUGCCAUUUCGGCAUCAUUGCAAAGCCAAUGGCACAUCUCCAGAAGAAACAUGGGGAGAUCCUGAGGGUCUCGCACGUUGAGCCGUCUCGACGAGGUCGGUGCAGAUGUCCGGCUCAGGGCCCGGCUCGCCGAUCUUGCCGAUGA
rnacentral:rRNA from 1 species